GUGUCAGCAGCCGCGGUAAUACCGGCAGCACGAGUGAUGACCGCUAUUAUUGGGCCUAAAGCGUCCGUAGCUGGCCAUGCAAGUCUAUCGGGAAAUCCGCGCGCUUAACGCGCGGGCGUCCGGUGGAAACUGCAUGGCUUGGGACCGGAAGACCAGGGGGGUACGUCCGGGGUAGGAGUGAAAUCCUGUAAUCCUGGACGGACCACCGGUGGCGAAAGCGCCUCAGGAAGACGGAUCCGACAGUGAGGGACGAAAGCCAGGGUCUCGAACCGG
rnacentral:rRNA from 1 species